rnacentral:rRNA from 1 species
ACGGAUUGGCUCGCGUCCGAUUAGCUUGUUGGCGGGGUAACGGCCCACCAAGGCUACGAUCGGUAGGGGUUCUGAGAGGAAGGCCCCCCACAAUGGGACUGAGACACGGCCCAUACUCCUACGGGAGGCAGCAGUGAGGAAUAUUGGUCAAUGGGCGGAAGCCUGAACCAGCCAUGCCGCGUGCGGGAAGGAGGCCCUAUGGGCUGUGAACCGCUUUUGCCUGGGGGCAAUAAGGGCGUCGCGCACGUCCGAUGAGAGUACCAGGCGAAUAAGCAUCGGCUAACUCCGUGCCAGCAGCCGCGGUAAUACGGGGGAUGCGAGCGUUAUCCGGAUUCAUUGGGUUUAAAGGGUGCGUAGGCUGUGCGUCAAGUCGGGGGUGAAAUUCCGGUGCUCAACACCGGGGCUGCCCUUGAUACUGUCGCGCUGGAGUGCGGAUGCCGCCGGAGGAAUGAGUGGUGUAGCGGUGAAAUGCUUAGAUAUCACUCAGAACACCGAUUGCGAAGGCAUCUGGCGAAUCCGUAACUGACGCUGAGGCACGAAAGCGUGGGGAUAGAACAGGAUUAGAUACCCUGGUAUUCCACGCCGUAAACGAUGAUGGCUAACCGCCGGCGACACACUGUCGGUGGCCAAGCGAAAGCGAUAAGCCAUCCACCUGGGGAGUA